GCCCGGUUGGCUCAGUCGGUAGAGCGUGUGACUCUUAGUUUGUGAUCAUCACCAGUGAUGGUUCCAGAUAAGUUUAUCUCAAGGUCGCGAGUUCGAGCCUCGCAUUGGGCU